CGACCGUCGGCAACGACGGCCGUCGUCCACGGUGGUCGGAGUUCACCAUAAAAAGCCUACUUUGGCUAUUUUUCCUCCCUCAGCCCAGAUUUGUGAUGAAAAUGCCCAAAAACCAAUCGAAAACUUAAAAAAAAAAAAAAACCUUUCGGUUUCGUCUUCUCCGAUCAUGACAAAGGUAAGAUUUUUUAUUUUAAAUAUAUAUGAAUAUAUAUCUGCUAUAUUAAGAAUAGAUAUGCAAUAAAAAAAUGAAAAUAUAUAUUAAAAGAAAAAAAAGAUUUACUUUUGAUCUAAAUUCUUUGCUUGAAUCUGAUUGUUCUCCUUUUUUGUAUUUUAUUUCUUUGUAUUUUUUAUAUUCAAAAUCACCCCCAUUACAAUGGAUUUUUCUUGGCUUAUAUAGCCAUUUUACAAGAUCUCUAUUUUUUUAUGUUUGCUAUCUUUUCUUCUUUGAUUUUGCUGGUGCAAGUGUCACAGGGCUAGAUCUUUUAUCUCGCAAUCCGUGUGGCCUUAGGCGAUCCGUUCGUCCAAACUCGCCUAAGUCAGCCUUUACACCCAAAAGUGAGGAUUCUUUUAGAACUCCUCCAAGGCACCAAUUUUUAUAGCGGAAGCGAUUGUGCCAAAAGAAGCUACAAGAGAACAACAGAAAGCCAAAGAAAGAAUGCAUACAAAGUGUUUGAGUAAAUGCUCAAAGAUUUCUAUUACUC
rnacentral:lncRNA from 1 species